AGCGAACGCUGGCGGCAGGCCUAACACAUGCAAGUCGAACGAGGUCUUCGGACCUAGUGGCGGACGGGUGAGUAACACGUGGGAACGUGCCCUUUGGUACGGAAUAACUCAGGGAAACUUGAGCUAACACCGUAUGUGCCCUUCGGGGGAAAGAUUUAUCGCCAUUGGAGCGGCCCGCGUCUGAUUAGCUAGUUGGUGAGGUAAUGGCUCACCAAGGCGACGAUCAGUAGCUGGUCUGAGAGGAUGACCAGCCACAUUGGGACUGAGACACGGCCCAAACUCCUACGGGAGGCAGCAGUGGGGAAUCUUGCGCAAUGGGCGAAAGCCUGACGCAGCCAUGCCGCGUGGAUGAUGAAGGUCUUAGGAUUGUAAAAUCCUUUCACCGGUGAAGAUAAUGACUGUAGCCGGAGAAGAAGCCCCGGCUAACUUCGUGCCAGCCGCCGCGGUAA
rnacentral:rRNA from 1 species